AUGAAUUCUAUAGAUACAACCACAAAUAUUAUCCACAUAUACAAUAAUCAGGUGAUUUCUAUUAAAAAUUAUAUAAAUUAUUAUUUUGUUAAUUGUAAUAGAAAUACAACACUUUCUUUCAUUAUAUGCAGAAUAAUAGAAUAUUUUUACAAACCCCAUGUGAAGAUGAGGAGCAACCACAUGUGUGUUCUUUCAUGUGCAUGGAACACAUACAUGCAUGUGCAUGCAAGUGCAUGCCUUGCAUGCUUGCACCCACCGAACCAUGCAAUCCAGCCAUCAUUUGGACGUGUACAAGGACCAAGGGAUCAAGGACCAAAAGACUUUGGAUUAAUAGGCCCAACAUCACCACGUGGGUGGGCCCCUAAGGCUUUCGACCACGCCACCAGGUGCCUGCCGCAAAGUCCAGGAAGAUCGGCCACGUACGGCUUUGAGCAGUCCGAUUCAUGGACAUCAGAUACCGCCUUCGACCCAAAGCAGUAG
rnacentral:rRNA from 1 species